rnacentral:rRNA from 1 species
CCUACGGGAGGCAGCAGUGGGGGAUAUUGCACAAUGGGGGGAACCCUGAUGCAGCGACGCCGCGUGGGUUCAGGCGUGCUUCGGCAUGUCACGCCCUCUCGGCCGUGCCGCCGCCCGCCGGUCCCUGACUAAGAAGCCCCGGCUAACUACGUGCCAGCAGCCGCGGUAAUACGUAGGGGGCGCGAGUUAUCCGGAUUCCCUGGGUGUACCGGGCGCGUCGACGGCCAUGCACGCCCGAGGUGACCGCCCGGGGCCCCCCCCCGGGACUGCCCUUGGAACUGCAUGGCUGGAGUGCGGGAGGGGCAAGCGGAAGUCCUGGUGGAGCGGUGAAAUGCGUAGAUAUUAGGAGGAACACCAGUGGCGAAGGCGGCUUACUGGACUGUAACUGACGUUGAGGCUCGAAAGCGUGGGGAGCAAACAGGAUUAGAUACCCGAGUAGUC